rnacentral:other from 1 species
GCCCUGCGGUGUUCGAGCCGCGGCUACGUUUUAGCCAACACUUUUAUGUAAGGGAAACCGAAGAGUUGCGGUGGUGUGUAUGCCGCGUCCCGUAAGGCACGUGGGAAACCCGUAAGCCGCAAAUAAGGUUACCCACCUGCGAUGCAGGUUGAAAUUAUGCCGUUAAACGGCACUGCGGGGAUU